UGAAAAUUACAGGUCAUUUCUAUUUUGGGAAACUUUUUGUCUGACCUCAAAUUCUUCAAUGAUGAUCUUUGAAAUGUCAAAUGAGACUUGUAUAGACAUGAAUGAGGUCUUUCUAACCAUCUCACACCUUCCAAUCCCUGAUUAAAUGCACAGUUGACCACAAUUGACCACAGUUGACUUUUCUAGGGUUUUGGUUGACUGAGCCAAGUUCUGAUGAAUACCAAGCCUCUUCCACUUGAGAUCUUGAUUCCAAAUGAUA
rnacentral:lncRNA from 1 species